GACGAACGCUGGCGGCGUGCCUAAUACAUGCAAGUUGAGCGCUGAAGGUUGGUACUUGUACCAACUGGAUGAGCAGCGAACGGGUGAGUAACGCGUGGGGAAUCUGCCUUUGAGCGGGGGACAACAUUUGGAAACGAAUGCUAAUACCGCAUAAAAACUUUAAACACAAGUUUUAAGUUUGAAAGAUGCAAUUGCAUACUCAAAGAUGAUCCCGCGUUGUAUUAGCUAGUUGGUGAGGUAAAGGCUCACCAAGGCGAUGAUACAUAGCCGACCUGAGAGGGUGAGCGGCCACAUUGGGACUGAGACACGGCCCAAACUCCUACGGGAGGCAGCAGUAGGGAAUCGUCGGCAAUGGACGAAAGUCUGACCGAGCAACGCCGAGUGAGUGAAGAAGGUUUUCGGAUCGUAAAACUCUGUUGGUAGAGAAGAACGUUGGUGAGAGUGGAAAGCUCAUCAAGUGACGGUAACUACCCAGAAAGGGACGGCUAACUACGUG
rnacentral:rRNA from 1 species